rnacentral:rRNA from 1 species
UGGGGAAUUUUGGACAAUGGGCGAAAGCCUGAUCCAGCAAUGCCGCGUGUGUGAAGAAGGCCUUCGGGUUGUAAAGCACUUUUGUCCGGAAAGAAAUGGCUCUGGUUAAUACCUGGGGUCGAUGACGGUACCGGAAGAAUAUGGACCGGCUAACUACGUGCCAGCAGCCGCGGUAAUACGUAGGGUCCAAGCGUUAAUCGGAAUUACUGGGCGUAAAGCGUGCGCAGGCGGUUGUGCAAGACCGAUGUGAAAUCCCCGAGCUUAACUUGGGAAUUGCAUUGGUGACUGCACGGCUAGAGUGUGUCAGAGGGGGGUAGAAUUCCACGUGUAGCAGUGAAAUGCGUAGAGAUGUGGAGGAAUACCGAUGGCGAAGGCAGCCCCCUGGGAUAACACUGACGCUCAUGCACGAAAGCGUGGGGAGCAAACAGG